rnacentral:rRNA from 1 species
UCCAGACUCCUACGGGAGGCAGCAGUGGGGAAUAUUGCACAAUGGGGGAAACCCUGAUGCAGCGACGCCGCGUGAGUGAAGAAGUAUUUCGGUAUGUAAAGCUCUAUCAGCAGGGAAGAAAAUGACGGUACCUGACUAAGAAGCCCCGGCUAACUACGUGCCAGCAGCCGCGGUAAUACGUAGGGGGCAAGCGUUAUCCGGAUUUACUGGGUGUAAAGGGAGCGUAGACGGUCCUGCAAGCCAGAUGUGAAAGCCCGGGGCUCAACCCCGGGACUGCAUUUGGAACUGUAAGGCUAGAGUGUCGGAGAGGCAGGCGGAAUUCCUAGUGUAGCGGUGAAAUGCGUAGAUAUACGGAGGAACACCAGUGGCGAAGGCGGAUUGCUGGACAGUAACUGACGCUGAGGCGCGAAAGCGUGGGGAGCAAACAGGAUUAGAUACCCUGGUA